rnacentral:rRNA from 1 species
AACGAACGCUGGCGGCGUGCCUAACACAUGCAAGUCGAACGAGAAAGGGGCUUCGGCUCCGAGUAGAGUGGCGCACGGGUGAGUAACACGUGGGUAACCUGCCUCUAAGAUUGGGAUAACUCGUCGAAAGAUGAGCUAAUACCGGAUAAGACCACAGUUCCUGCGGGAACAGGGGUCAAAGGUAGCCUCUGCUUGCAAGCUAUCACUUAGAGAUGGGCCUGCGCACCAUUAGCUAGUUGGUAGGGUAACGGCCUACCAAGGCAAAGAUGGUUAGCUGAUCUGAGAGGAUGAUCAGCCACACUGGAACUGAGACACGGUCCAGACUCCUACGGGAGGCAGCAGUGGGGAAUAUUGCGCAAUGGGCGAAAGCUUGACGCAGCAACGCCGCGUGAGUGAUGAAGGCCUUCGGGUCGUAAAGCUCUGUCGGGAGGAACGAAUGCUCCUGAGGUUAACAGCCUCGGGAGGUGACGGUACCUCCAAAGGAAGCACCGGCUAACUCUGUGCCAGCCGCCGCAGUAA